rnacentral:rRNA from 1 species
AUUGAACGCUGGCGGCAUGCCUUACACAUGCAAGUCGAACGGCAGCACGGGGCAACCUGGUGGCGAGUGGCGAACGGGUGAGUAGUGCAUCGGAACGUGCCAUUGAGCGGGGGAUAACGUAGCGAAAGUUGCGCUAAUACCGCAUAUUCUGUGAGCAGGAAAGCAGGGGACCGCAAGGCCUUGCGCUCUUUGAGCGGCCGAUGUCAGAUUAGCUAGUUGGUGAGGUAACGGCUUACCAAGGCGACGAUCUGUAGCGGGUCUGAGAGGAUGAUCCGCCACACUGGAACUGAGACACGGUCCAGACUCCUACGGGAGGCAGCAGUGGGGAAUUUUGGACAAUGGGCGCAAGCCUGAUCCAGCCAUGCCGCGUGAGUGAAGAAGGCCUGGU